UUCCUCUGUCCCUCCCUUUUUCGUCACCUUUAUCUUAUUAUCUUUGGUGCCUCCCAAAAUAUUACGUCACCUGAAAGAGACAAUUUGUGGCAUCAAACCAGCCCUGUAGUAAUAUAAAUACAAACUAGAAAUACAUUGGCAUGACAGUAUACACGGGAACAGUUCAAUUGUAAGCUUGAAAUGGUUAGCAGAACUAGAAGGAAAAUUAUAUUUUAGAGUAGAUAUAAGCCAGAUAUUGUGAUUGUUAAUUGUCAUUAACCAAGACCUUCCUCAAUUGAUAUUUGGAGAAAUUACAUAAAUAGGUGACUGCCAUUGAAGUGUUUGCUGUAGAAAACAACUGCAUCAACUGAGUCCAAAAUGAAGACCCAGAAACUGACAGCUACUUUAUUUACAAUGGUGUUUUUAUGCUGGAAUAUCCAUGGAGUUCUGACCACAACUGCAGCUCCUACGACAACUGCAGCUCCUACGACACCUGAAGCUCCUACGACAACUGCAGCUCCUACGACAACUGCAGCUCCGACGACGACUGCAGCUCCUACGACGACUGCAGCUCCUACGACAACUGCAGCUCCUAUGACAACUGCAGCUCCUAUGACAACAAGUGUAGCUCCUAUGACAAUAACUGUAGCUCCUACUACAACAACUG